rnacentral:sRNA from 1 species
UGAGACAAUAAAACUGUGCCACGAACAA